rnacentral:tRNA from 1 species
GGAGAGAUGGCUCAGUGGUUAAGAGCACUGGCUGCUCUUCCAGAGGUCCUGAGUUCAAAUCCCAGCAUCCA